GACCAGUUCAACACAAAGACCGAGUGCUGCUGUUGGAAAAAGGAAAGUGCUGAAGUACAAUUGAAGAAUUCAUCUUGCUGUUCAGAGGAGUCAGCUGUGCUUGAAGGUCAAAGCAAUUCCAAGGUGGGAAACCAAGUCUGCUGUGAUGGCUGUUCAUCUGUGCAGAAGCCUUGGAUCAAUCAAUGCUGUGGGGACACACCGUUUGGCUCAGCACAACGUGGAGUUCUCUGUUGUGAUAACACCUUGUAUGAGAACAGAAAUGAUGGAGAGGAAUGUUCAGAGACGGGUAUUCCUUAUGACCCAACUAAAGGGACCAUAUGUUGCUCUCAGUUUCAUGGCAGCCCGGGACAACACUGCUGUGGGACAGAAAUUUACCAGCCUGAUGCUGAGAUCUGCUGUAACGGACACAGACAUUCCAGAUUGGAAAAUAUUCACUGCUGUGGGAUUAAAGCCUACAACAUUAAAGACCCACAGAUGAAGUGCUGUGCAGGAACACUGUACAAUCUGACACUGUUAGAUGAGCAUGGACAGGACGCACAGUGUUGCGGAUCCCUUCUGCAAAAGCAACAGGACAUUUGCUGCUCAAGUGAGGACAGAGAAGUGCUAUACUCUGCUAAGACGGGAUUCAGAUGCUGUGGUCACCUCUACUUCAACACCACCCUGUGGUCAUGCUGUGCUGAACGGCUGAGAUCAAUCCAUGAACCAGGACAGGAUCGGAGAAAGAUGAAUAAUGAAUCCAGACUUCAAUCAGUGAAUAAUAUGAACAAAACUGAUCUUUGCAAAAAAAUGCGCAUCGGGACAGUGGAAAGUGUCUCUCUGCAUAGCAUUGUGUUCAAGAGCGUGCUGAAGAUCCGUGGAAAGAAGGCCAAAGUGAAAGCGUUGCCUUUCCCUUAUAUCUUGAAAACAGAUGAUCACUGCAGCUCACCCAAACUGAUUCCUGGGAAGACCUACUUCUUUAACAAAGUUAAUGUUUUCACCGAUUCCAACCAUGACACUGUUCUUCAGUCACUCCACUUCAUUUUUUCUAAGUGUUCAGCUUAGAUCACCAGUCACUGAUGGAUACAUAUUACUUCUUACUCACACACUGAUUUACAUUUUUUCACAACAGCUAUUACAGAGAUGCGUUGUCACAUAACGGUCUGUUACCUCUAAAACAAUCAACCGUAAAGGUACUCAUCAUCAUAAAAAAAUUUAACCUGACGUUUUACCAGCAAUACCAGCAGCAAAGUUGGUGAAAACCAACCCAAAGAGAUCUUUUCAGUUCAUCAUUGCUUUUCUUACUCAUUCAGGCUCAAAAUAUGACCUGUUUGCUUGGAUUAGCAUGCACUCACCUUGAACAUUGCUCUGGAUCCCACGGAUCUUCAUGAGCUUUACUGAUCUUUAUUUUACCUUUUCAGAUUUUUGAAUAGGUUUGAGUUUGCAUUUGCAGCAGUGUUGCACUGCCAAAAAUUUUAGGCCAGUCACUUUUUUUUCUACAAGGUGAGAUAAGUUAUUGUUGCACAAAUAACAGUUGGAGGUUUUUUGUUUGUUUCUUUUAAAAUUUUCUAUUAUACAGAUUAUGUAACUUGAGUAAAAAGAAAAACAAAGCUAAUUUGCCAGUAGCAGGCAACCAUUUACCUUAUUUAGAGACUAUGAUGCACAAUAUUACUGCAAUACAGACAAAUGUGAUGUAAGUAUACAAUGCAUUACUUUUUAUAUCACACCCACACUGCAUACUUAUUUCAUUAAGAAAAUCACAUUGUGUUUCCAAAACAGCAGUAUCAGUUAUUAGUGAUAUUAGUUAUACAUUGUUAUCAAUAUAUUAUACAUUGUUUUUCAAAUAUUGCUUCACUUUUUACUUUACUCUGCCUGUAUUCAGCCAAACCAUGUUCCUCUUUGGUGUAAGAUGACCCAAAAAUAUGGGGUUAUUUUUGUGCCACUAUUCUGAGCGCACGUUAAAAAAAAAUGCAGGUGCAAAGUGUUGCAUUUUGAGGAGAAAUUUAUUUUGAGUGGAGAAAAGCUAAACUUGAGUGAAAAAAAUUAAUUGCUGCAUGCAAAAAAUGCAUUUCAGUGUUUGCUAUUAUAGCAGCCCCUCUCGCUCAGUUUUUGCAUUUGCGCUUGCUCUCAAUGUGUUGCUUGUGCUCUCAACAUUUCUGCCCGUGCACAUUCAACUCUUUCUGUACACCGUUAUAUUUGUGCCACAAAACCAGCCAAUCACAGACUUGGAUGCAACGAAAUCUGAUUGGCUGUUUUGGUCUCCAAUCAGCUUGAAAUGUCGAAAUGCAAUAUCCCAGAAUCCAUUUCGUCCAAAACUCAAACGAGGCUGUGGCGGAGGAACACAGAGUGGCGGAGUUUGAAAUAUUACUCUUUCUGGGUCACAAAAUAAACUUUUAAGAUAUUUUCAUGCGAGAAUGGUGCUGUGUAAACUUCAAAUAUCUGCUCGAUUCAUCAAGACAUCACAUAUUUACAAAAGUGCUCUAAUGUUUUUGGAGAUUCCUGAUAGCCACCAGCUGACCGCAUAGCUGGACUGGCCAUUGGGCAUACCGGGCAUUUGCCUGGUGGGCCGAUGGCGAUUUUUCAUUUUUAUGUUUGUUUGUUUUUUUAAAACGGUAUAAACAAUAAAAGGUGGUGGAUUAGCCAAUUGGUAACAGGCAUCUCCGAAAACAUUACAGUAUUAGAGUACAUUAAGUAAGAACAAUGUACUUCAAAGUGUAAUAUUUACUGAACUUCAUAUUGUAGUCAGUCACACAACUUAAAGUAAUUACUGAGUGUAACACAGCCAAUUGGUACACAGUGUUGUUGAAAUCUAAAUCUGUAAUAUAUGCAAUAAUGAAAUAUGAUCACCAACUGCCAAAGUCUGAAACAAAAAGAAAAAGCUAAAUGGCCUGUAAAUGGUAAAUGGCCUGUAUUUGUAUAGCGCUUUUCUAGUCCCUCUGACCACCACCAGUAGGCAAACAUGGGGUUAGUAUCUUGCCCAAGGAUAUUUGGCAUGCAGCCAGGAGGCAGUCUGGGAUCGAACCACCGACCUUCUGAUUAGUGGCUGACCUGCUCUGCCACCUGAGCUACAGCCACCCCAUGAAGCUAAAGAAGCAAACAGUAUAUCAAAGCUUGUGCGAGUCUGUGAUCAGCAGUAGCUGACACCUUAGCAGUCAUUAUAGCAGGUAGCACACAAGAAUAGCAUGCAGCUCUGUGCUCAAAGCAGCUAUUAGCUAAUAUAGUUUAUCUUUUUAAAAAUUGGGGAUUAUUAUUUUUAUGCUUUUAUUUUCUGAUUCUUGCACUAAACUAAAUUAUAAAUGGUGACUGUUUGCACAUCAUUAACCCAUAUAACUGAAUGUAUACAUGUUCUAUUAAUGGCAUUGUUUUAUUUUUAUUGAUUAAGCUACUAGAUGUACUCAACUUGCCAUUUAUCAUGAAAUAUGCUUUAAGGACCCAAAAGACCACCCAGAGGUCACAUUUAAAUGUCUUGUGUUUGUUUACUUGUAACUACAAAUUUUUGUUCUCCUUGGUUUAAGCUACAUUUCUUUUAUUUGGAAUAUGUUUGGCAUGUAUUUCACUGUAUGUUUCUUCACAAUAUAUAAGACACACCUUUAACCCAGAGAAACCCUGGAAACGUUGAAGGCACACAAUUUUACAUUUUGCAUGUUUGAGUGAAAUUGUAGGAGGUACUGUUCUUUUAAGGAUAAAGCUUUGAAUAAAUAAAUAUAACAGCA
ensembl:lncRNA